UACGUAGGGUGCAAGCGUUAAUCGGAAUUACUGGGCGUAAAGCGUGCGCAGGCGGUUUUGUAAGCCAGAUGUGAAAUCCCCGGGCUUAACCUGGGAAUGGCAUUUGGGACUGCAAGGCUCGAGUGCGGCAGAGGAGACUGGAAUUCCUGGUGUAGCAGUGAAAUGCGUAGAUAUCAGGAGGAAUACCGAUGGCGAAGGCAGGUCUCUGGGCUGACACUGACGCUCAUGCACGAAAGCGUGGGGAGCAAACAGG
rnacentral:rRNA from 1 species